rnacentral:rRNA from 1 species
UAGCCGUAAACGAUACUCGCUAGGUGUCGGCCACGGUGCGACCGUUGUCGGUGCCGUAGGGAAGCCGUGAAGCGAGCCACCUGGGAAGUACGGCCGCAAGGCUGAGACUUAAAGGAAUUGGCGGGGGAGCACAACAACGGGUGGAGCUUGCGGUUUAAUUGGACUCAACGCCGGGAAGCUCACCGGAUAAGACAGCGGAAUGAUUGCCGGGCUGAAGACCCUGCAUGACCAGCUGAGAGGAGGUGCAUGGCGUAGUCGUGU